UAAUUAAUACGCACAAAACCUCCCCAAACCCAAAAACCCAAAUCAAAACGCAGAAAUUCAGUCAAAACUCCCGCAAUCAGAGUUUUUAAUUUUGGUUCACUGAUACCUUUAUCACUUGAUCUGGCUUCUCCUCCGUUAUUCAAGCAGUAAUUCUAAGGAAUAAUAGGUUUCUUUCUUCAUUACGGUUUUGAUGUUUGACUUUGUAGGAUUGUUUGUUGUAUACUCUUGUUUUAGUUGGAGAUGGGUUUUCUUUCAGGGGAGGUAUGGAACUAAGAUUGAUCAUACUAAUCCCCCUAUCCCGCCGCCUUUCACUACGUUUUGUUGAAAAUAUAGAAAUUUUAAUAAUAGGUUUUUUGAAAUUAAAGGCAAUUUUUUUAUAGGUAAGGAUUCUGAUGAACCGAACCCA
rnacentral:lncRNA from 1 species